rnacentral:rRNA from 1 species
GCAGGCGGUUUCUUAAGUCUGAUGUGAAAGCCCCCGGCUCAACCGGGGAGGGUCAUUGGAAACUGGGGAACUUGAGUGCAGAAGAGGAGAGUGGAAUUCCACGUGUAGCGGUGAAAUGCGUAGAGAUGUGGAGGAACACCAGUGGCGAAGGCGACUCUCUGGUCUGUAACUGACGCUGAGGAGCGAAAGCGUGGGGAGCGAACAGGAUUAGAUACCCUGGUAGUCCACGCCGUAAACGAUGAGUGCUAAGUGUUAGGGGGUUUCCGCCCCUUAGUGCUGCAGCUAACGCAUUAAGCACUCCGCCUGGGGAGUACGGUCGCAAGACUGAAACUCAAAGGAAUUGACGGGGGCCCGCACAAGCGGUGGAGCAUGUGGUUUAAUUCGAAGCAACGCGAAGAACCUUACCAGGUCUUGACAUCCUCUGACAAUCCUAGAGAUAGGACGUCCCCUUCGGGGGCAGAGUGACAGGUGGUGCAUGGUUGUCGUCAGCUCGUGUCGUGAGAUGUUGGGUUAAGUCCCGCAACGAGCGCAACCCUUGAUCUUAGUUGCCAGCAUUCAGUUGGGCACUCUAAGGUGACUGCCGGUGACAAACCGGAGGAAGGUGGGGAUGACGUCAAAUCAUCAUGCCCCUUAUGACCUGGGCUACACACGUGCUACAAUGGACAGAACAAAGGGCAGCGAAACCGCGAGGUUAAGCCAAUCCCACAAAUCUGUUCUCAGUUCGGAUCGCAGUCUGCAACUCGACUGCGUGAAGCUGGAAUCGCUAGUAA